rnacentral:rRNA from 1 species
GGAGUUUGGACCGUGUCUCAGUUCCAAUGUGGGGGACCUUCCUCUCAGAACCCCUACCGAUCGAAGGCUUGGUGGGCCGUUACCCCGCCAACUACCUAAUCGGACGCAUCCCCAUCCAUGGCCGAUGAAAUCUUUAGUCCUCAUUAGAUGUCUGCAAAGGACCCCAUAGGGCAUUAAUCCGCUUUUCAGCGGGCUAUUCCCUGGCCGUGGGCAGGUUGGAUACGCGUUACUCACCCGCGCGCCGGUCGCCGACAAAGAAAGCAAGCUUUCUUCUCGCUGCCCCUCGACUUGCAUGUGUUAAGCCUGUAGCUAGCGUUCAUC